GGGUGUUCGCGCUGCAUGUCGCAGCGAAACAGGUUCUUGCGCUGGUCGGGCCGCCGCG
rnacentral:ncRNA from 12 species